ensembl:lncRNA
AUUUGUUCAACAAACAGGCAACACCUAAGGGCCAGGUCCUAGUCUAGGUGCCAUGGAUAGAGUGGUAAAGAAGACAGACAAACUUCCAGCUUCAUGAAGCUUACUAAAUUCCAGUGGUGAAAAGAGACAAUAAAUAAGGACAGUAGUGACUAGUGCUAUAAAGAAGAAUAAAGAAUAACACAGGUGAAUUAAGAGUCGAGUGCACAGUAAGAGUGGAGCAGAGGAGAGAGGUCUGAAAUAGUGUGUGAGAGAAGGGGAGAGUGAAUCGACCGGAGAAAGCCACAGUGCAACUGGGUGCAGGCAUGGAGAAAGUGGGAUUGGCUCAAUAAAGGGAUAAUUUAAAAGAUGAUGGAAAUGACUGCACCAAUUGAACCUUAAGAAGGUCAGUCAGCUUCUGCUUUUGCAAUUUUGAGAGCCCUUGAGUCAACAGGUCCAGCUACUUUGCUGGAGAGACCACAUGGAAAACCUUUUGGAGGGGCCACGCAGAGAGGCCGAGGCUCUGGGACUACUUGGGGAGAGAGAAAACUCUCACCUUCCCAGAAUUCCAGCUGAGCGCAGCCUCCCUGCUGCUCCCAGCACCUAGGUGCCAGACAUGAGAGUGAAGACAUCUUGGACAUUCCAGCCCCAGUCAUGUGCCUGCAGCUUCAUGACAGACUACUCGUGACACCAGCAGAAGAACCAUUCAGCUGAUCUUUAGUCAACUCACAGAAUCAUGGGAAAUAAUAAAAUGGUGGUUGUACUAGGUCGGUGCUCCCCGUAAGUUGAACCUAGUCCAAGGCAGAAGGAAAAGGAGCCUUCGAUGUUGUCCAUAAAGGUCAGACUCUCAGGUCACAGAGCAAGGGAGAGAAGAAUGGAGAUUGGCUCUGGAGAGGCAAACAGAAGAGAUUCAGCAGGGGCCACCCCCUUCCCCUUCAGCAUCAACUCUAGCUCUCCGUGCAAGUGAAAGUUGAUCUCCCUGUUACAGAACACAUCGAAGUCCUUCAGCUUCCGUAUUAUCAUGGGAAAAUGUUUGUUCAGUCAUAGUCCCACCUGGAACCCAAAAUCUUAGCCAACACUAGUGUUCUUCAUAUCAGGUGGCUAAGAUGAGGGGAGAAGGAUGUGGAAAAAUAAUCAAUUAAUAUCAAACCUAGCUAUUACCAUCCCUGCUUCUUGACUGGUCAUGAGGUCUAAGCAAGUGGUAAUCAUAUCUGUUUUCUUCCACAUUCACUUCAUGUUUCUCUUACCCUCUGAUACCACCUCAGCUUCAUGGGGUUCUUUACCUGGUAGGGUGACUCAAACCUUCAUUCCUGUGGGAUUUGAGUCCUUACUGGUCCUGUUUUAUUCCAUUGCUACAGUUUCCCGUUGACUAGGACAAUUGGCCGAGUGAGUACUAGGAGGCACCUAGUGAUUCCUCUGGGCUCCAAAUAUAGUUCUGUCCCAUCCUUGUGUAGCAGCAACCCAGUUUCUCCCUGGUAAUCAGGAUCAAUGACCCUGGUCAGCACAGUAGCCCCAUUCUCCACAUUGCUCCCUUGGCCACUAGGAUCUUUAAAUCCAAAGAGGCCAAGGUCAUAGGGACAAAAAGCAAAAUUCUUCAAGUGUAAUAGUGAGAGGUGCCACUCCCAGCUCCAACCCUUGGUUCCCAGGCCCAUGCAUUCUGGCUAAGGAAAAGAAGACAUGAUAUAUUGGUCACUGGUUAAAAGUAUACCUCAAUUUACAGAUCAGCAGCCCAACCUCACAGGGUGAUGUCUCCCAGCUGCUUUCAGGCCUAAGCCUUCACCAGGCCACUCCACUGUUCUAUUAAACCACUACUUCUGUGUAACGGGGCAUGUGGUAAGAUCGGCGACGUUCACAGAUGCUGAGGGCAUGGCUCCACUUCUUUUGCCAUAAAAGGCAGCCCCUUCUCUUAGGCAAUGUUGUGUGGGACAUGAUGAUGGUGGAUAAGUUGUUCCAAGAGCCUGAAAACAGGUAGAACUGGCAGAAGCACUGAGAUCUUGCCACUGAUUUUCCAAAACUAAUCUUUCCAAGUCCCUGGCCAACUGAGUCACUGUCCAUGUGUCACUAUUGUUCUGUACCUCAGGCUAUCUCUUUUUUCACGUGAAGUGGGUACAGCAUCCAGAGUUCUGCCCAUAGGGAUUUCCCUUCACCGUUAUCUUUCUGGGCCACCCUUUGGCAGAGUGCUAGUGUAGCAGCCACCCACUUCCAGCUGGUCCUGGCAUAACAGGAAGAUCCAUCAACAAAUCUAGCCUGUGUUUUCCUCUAUUCACUGGCCCUGUAGAACUCAAUCACAGGGCCCUGGUGUAGAUUGAGAAAGAGGCUGCAAAGCAGUAGGAGCAGGAGCAUGGGGCUCUGUGCCACCUGCUUAUGCAAUUUCCUUGUGUCUUCCAGACCUGCUUACGAAGCUUUCUAAGAAAUCUGCUGUGCAAUCUUGAUAUUUUGGGAAUAUAUAACACCCGGUUCAUGAUGGGCAGGUUGGGUCACAGGUGUCUGUUAGGGCUCAGUAGCUAUCCAGGAG